GUGCCAAGCAGCCGCGGUAAAACCAGCACCUCAAGUGGUCAGGAUGAUUAUUGGGCCUAAAGCAUCCGUAGCCGGCUCUGUAAGUUUUCGGUUAAAUCUGUACGCUCAACGUACAGGCUGCCGGGAAUACUGCAGAGCUAGGGAGUGGGAGAGGUAGACGGUACUCGGUAGGAAGUGGUAAAAUGCUUUGAUCUAUCGAUGACCACCUGUGGCGGAGGCGGUCUACCAGAACACGUCCGACGGUGAGGGAUGAAAGCUGGGGGAGCAAACCGGAUUAGAUACCCGGGUAGUCCCAGCUGUAAACUAUGCAAACUCAGUGAUGCAUUGGCUUGUGGCCAAUGCAGUGCUGCAGGGAAGCCGUUAAGUUUGCCGCCUGGGAAGUACGUACGCAAGUAUGAAACUUAAAGGAAUUGGCGGGGGAGCACCACAAGGGGUGAAGCCUGCGGUUCAAUUGGAGUCAACGCCAGAAAUCUUACCCGGAGAGACAGCAGGAUGAAGGUCAAGCUGAAGACUUUACCAGACAAGCUGAGAGGUGGUGCAUGGCCGUCGCCAGCUCGUGCCGUGAGAUGUCCUGUUAAGCCAGGUAACGAGCGAGAUCCCUGCCUCUAGUUGCCACCAUUACUCUCAGGAGUAGUGGGGCGAAUUAGCGGGACCGCCGCAGUUAAUGCGGAGGAAGGAAGGGGCCACGGCAGGUCUGUGAUGCCC
rnacentral:rRNA from 1 species